AGUUAUUGCCCCACCCUGUAUAUGGACAUUUUAUUAUCCCUACAUAACGAAUAUAAGUGAUAUAAACAUUAUAAAGUAUUUACUUAUUUUUAAAGAAGAACAUAAUCGUGGCAAUGAAUGCAAAUGACAUUAUUUUAUGUCAUUUUAAUAAACAUCAUAAAAAAUUAAGAAAAAUAGCUAAGACAAUUAAUACAAUAUCGAGUCAUUAAAAACUAAGUACUUAAACGCCUUAAAUCGAUUUUUAGCGCAAAACGAGAUUAAAUAUUUGAAAAAAAUAACGAGCGGCCAAAUUCAACGCAACAUUUGAAAGUUCACUUUUAAAUAAUUAAAUAUCGAUAAUCUGAAGAAAGGAGAAACUUGCGAAAGUUGACAGAGUUUCGCCGCUAUUUUGUAUAUUUGCAGCUUUGUUCUUGAAAUUUUCUUCUGGAAAUUGCAACUGUAGCGUCGCAAUAAUGAGUAAAAUAGAACGAAGGGCGCAAGAAGCGUCCCGGAAAAUCAACUACCGAAAAGUUGCCAUUGCUCGUCCCUCUAUAAGUCUAUACUAUGAAUCGAUACCGAGACGAGUCGGCUUGCGACUUGUUCCGUUAUUCUGUAUACUUCUAUGGAAAUCUCAAUGGGAAGAUUCUCAAAGGGCUUCGAAAAUGUUGACGCGAGAACAGCGGGACGAAUAAACUUUUCAAGACGUUCCCACGAAUAAAAAAUUGACGGUUUCCUCAAGAGAUGACAUCGGAUCGGACUGCGGACUGCGACCAAGGAACAGAAUAUGGGUGGCGUGAAUAUCGAUGUGCUGUCAAAGGGUUAACGGUAUAGGAAUAAGAACAUUGAGAAACGAGGUUGGUGCGGUCGCAGGCCUUCAUUGACAAGAUACAGGAGAAUUGCAAGUCGGCAGGAAAAUUCUAUCAAAAGUAUCUUGAGCCCUAAUCUCUCUCUGAGUUGUCCGCGGGAAAUCUUCUGAAGUGAUUCAGCACACGGAUGCACGACGUUGUUUACUCGAAAGUUGCGUAAAAGCGCGUAAUCUUUCUUUUCUUUCUUUUUCUUCUUCUGAUAAACUAAAGCCAUUUGAAUGGUUAAUCUCAUUUUUCAUUAAAAUGUAACUUGGGUGCGUUGUUGUGGCAUCCUCUCAUAAUUUUCCACACGAAGCUUCUCAUUCUUUUAUCAUUAUUAUCUUCAUUUAUCUUCAUUUAAUAUAUUUCUCUUUCGUAAUAUAAUUAUGAAAAUUCCAAGCUAUAUUACGCAUAAAUUACGCAUAUUUUUCCACGUGCCUUGCUUCGUUCAUUUUUCAACAGUUGAACUAGGCUUGCUCAUAACUGGAAUCAUUUUCAUGCAUUUAAAUUGCUCGUCUGAGCACGUUCGCGCAUACCAACACACAUGCUUACUAUGCUAUAGAAACAGCCCUAGCUUUUAAAGGUAUAUCAAAGACAUAACAUUCUUUCAGAGAGAUUUCAACCAGCAACAUAAAUAGAAUUCUCUUUAUUUGUUACUACGCAACAUGCAAAGCGAACAUGCAAUUCUAAAAGACAUUUAGCAUAUCUGCCCAUGAAAGAGGGGUAAUUAAAAUAUUUCGAAUGCCUCUACGUGUUUAGGCAUUUAUGUUGUUCAGAGAUUCACCGAGGAGAAAAUAUCUCGAAAUAUUUUUAAACGGGUAUGUCUCUUUUGAAAACCGAUUUUUCUUAAACUUGUUGAGCUCGAGACUUGUCAAGCUCGAAACAGCUCGAAAUAAAUUAAUCCAUCUAAUUGCAGAAUUGUGAUCUGAUCGCGUCAUUGUAUUUCUGUUGUGAGUCUGAUUUCCGAUAUUAAUUACUUAGCCAAGCGCAUCAUUCCGUCGAGAGACACGCUUCCCUUUCCUCCUCUCUCACUCUCUAUUAUAGUUUAAUUGUACGAAUAAUUGGACGCCAUACGCGAUGCACGAUGAUGCCAUGCACGACAUCGUCAUUGACAGUCUGAAGGAUUGUGGAUUGCUGGACGGAAUGGGACCAGUCGAGGCUAGAGACCCUCUAAUAAGAUUCCGAGGGUUUUCCUGCGAGUUUAGCAACGACCUUGGAAUUGAUGAUCGAUUAAUUAGUAACGUAUUAGUGCUAACGUAUUCGUGCUAAAUAGAGAGUUAUGUUUCCAGAAUAAACUGUUUGAGAAAUGCACGUAAUAGAGAAAACAGUCAAGCGUUUUUCAAGUUUUCUGAAAGUUUUUUGGAAAAAAUUAAUAUAACGCAGUCAUUUAUUUAUUACUUUUCAUUAGAGAUGUAAACUUACGGUUAAAGUGACGGUUACUGACGGUAAAAUUACAGUAAAAUGGUAAUUUAUUGGUAAUUUUGAUAAAAUUCGUUUUUUUAAUGAGUUUUAUGCAGAAAUAUUAUUUGUCAAAUGGGCUCUCUUCAUGUUUUCUGCACUGCAUAAUGCAUAAGUUAAAAAAAUAUUCUCAUCAAAUGUACAUCUGAUAAUUUCUGAAGUAUUUUUAAGAUUAAGAUGAAAAAGAGGAAACUAUUUACAAUCCUUCGCGAGUAUCGAGAGUAAUCCAGAGUAUUAAAUUUUCGAUUUCUUAAAUCUGAAGCUUUGCCAAUCUGCUGUCCUGAUAUAUAAACCACUUAAGAGUAUGUAAUAUUGAAAUUUCAUAUUCCCUUAAAUUUCUAUACAUAGUAUGUUCAUAUUUAAUACGAUUUCUCAUUCUGAAUAAAUUAUUUGAACUGCAGUAAAACAAGGUCGAACAGCUGACAAACAUAAUCUGCAAAUCCGUUUUAUAUUUCAUUUUUAGAUGGAAACAGAGAAGAGAGUUGACGUUUGUGGAGACAUUUUGUUCUCAAGAAGAAAGAAGAAAAUGUAACGAGUCACUUGUCGAAAAUGUUUGCAAUAUUAUAACAAUGCAAAUAUGAGUUAAAUAGUGUUUUUGUUUUACUCAUCUUAAAGGCUAAAAAUGUUGCUUUUGAAUUUUAUAUCAAUAUUUCAUUAUUUUUGUCAAAAUUACUAUUUUACCGGCUUUCCAAAAUUACUGGGUAAUAUACUGCAAUUUACCGAGUAAAUUACCGUUAGCUUGGGUCAUUUUCAUCUCUACCUUCAAUCAUUUAUUAUAUGUAUGUUUAAUUUUAUUUUAUGUCUUUUUAACAACGUAUAAGCUGUAAAUGCUUGGUGCUUAUUCUCGCCCUUCUUGUUACAAAAAGAAAGACUCAGAUAAAA